UUUUAAAAUUAAAUAAAUAUUUAUAAAUAAGUGAAAGUUUAGGUGAUUUUGAUAUAUUUAAUCUCAACCAAUUAGCACCUUAAUGGUGUGAAAUUCUUGAAUUGUUCAUUGAAUUGUCAAUAGAUAUAAAAUUUAUUAAGUUUAUGAACAAUACUACAUAUAUAUAUACUGCAAAUUCGAUAUAAAUCAUACGUUCCACCCUAAAUAAAAGUAAGUGUUACUGUAAUAAAAGUGCGAUGGCAUUUAGCAUAUCCACUUAAGAGGUGCAAAACUCAUAAGCAGUUCAAUGAAUCGGUGACAAAUAUAAAAUUUCUAAAAUUUGGAUGAUUACGCAUAAACAGAUAAAAAUUAAGAUAAUUCUAAUACAUUUAAUUCUAAUUAUAAAUAAAAUACAUACUUUAUUCUAAGCAAGCGUUAUUAUAAUAAAGGUGUCACGCCACUUUGCAUAUAUGCUCAAGAGGUGGGAACCUCGUGAGUAGUUCUAUGUAUGGACAAAAUUUUUUUAAAAAAUUUAAAUAUGCAGUUAUUUUUAAAACUUAAAUAAGAGAAAAUUUAGAUUGUUUUUAGCUAAAAUACAAAAAAAUAUAUUUUUUAAACUUUUCCUUCCUCACUAUUAAAAAUCUAUCGUUUGCUCCUUAAAAAUUUCAGAAAUAUUUAUAAAAGAGUACAAAAUGACGAAAUUAUUCUUAUUUUUUAUAUAAAAAACUUUUAAUAUAUUCUGUCGUUUUGAAGGAUAUUUUUAGUGUAAAUUAUAAGAAAUGAACGGAAUAAUGAUAGAAUCCUGACAGAGGAAGGCUAAAUACAAUAACUUAAAAUGCUGAUAGAGCAAAAUGUAAAUUUUUAAAAAUUAGGAAGAGAAAAUAAAAAGACGAAUAUUUGUAA
rnacentral:lncRNA from 1 species